GAACUUAAGCAUAUCAAUAAGCGGAGGAAAAGAAACUAACAAGGAUUCCCCUAGUAACUGCGAGUGAAGCGGGAAAAGCUCAAAUUUAAAAUCUGGCGGUCUCCGGCCGUCCGAGUUGUAGUCUGGAGAAGCGUUUUCCGCGUUGGACCGUGUACAAGUUUCCUGGAACGGAGCGUCAUAGAGGGUGAGAAUCCCGUCUUUGACACGGACCCCAAUGCUUUGUGAUGCGCUCUCAAAGAGUCGAGUUGUUUGGGAAUGCAGCUCAAAAUGGGUGGUGAAUUCCAUCUAAAGCUAAAUAUUGGCGAGAGACCGAUAGCGAACAAGUACCGUGAGGGAAAGAUGAAAAGCACUUUGGAAAGAGAGUUAAACAGUACGUGAAAUUGUUGAAAGGGAAACGCUUGAAGUCAGUCGCGUCGGCCGGGACUCAGCCUUGCAUUUGCUUGGUGUACUUUCCGGUCGACGGGCCAGCAUCAGUUUUGACCGCGAGACAAAGGCGGAGGGAAUGUGGCUCUUUCGGGAGUGUUAUAGCCCUCCGUCGCAUGUCGCGGUUGGGACUGAGGACCGCAGCACGCCUUUAUGGCCGGGGUUCGCCCACGUACGUGCUUAGGAUGCUGGCGUAAUGGCUUUAAACGACCCGUCUUGAAACACGGACCAAGGAGUCUAACAUGCCUGCGAGUGUUCGGGUGGAAAACCCGUGCGCGUAAUGAAAGUGAAAGUUGGGAUCCCUGUCGUGGGGUGCACCGACGCCCGGACCAGACCUUUUGUGACGGAUCUGCGGUAGAGCAUGUAUGUUGGGACCCGAAAGAUGGUGAACUAUGCCUGAAUAGGGUGAAGCCAGAGGAAACUCUGGUGGAGGCUCGUAGCGAUUCUGACGUGCAAAUCGAUCGUCAAAUUUGGGUAUAGGGGCGAAAGACUAAUCGAACCAUCUAGUAGCUGGUUCCUGC
rnacentral:rRNA from 1 species